GGCGACGUAGCCAAGUGGUAAGGCACGGGUCUGCAACACCCUUAUCACCGGUCCGAAUCCGGUCGUCGCCUCUA
rnacentral:tRNA from 6 species